rnacentral:misc_RNA from 1 species
GUACCACAGGUCACCUGAGAUGAAUUAGGGGGUUUAACGGUCAGAGUCCCUCCGGAUCCCCGUGCAAGACGUUAGUUACUACACAAAGGAGGCUCCGGGAGGGUCCGCCACUAUCUUAAAGGGCCCACGUCGGCCGUGGGGCCCCAAAACCAAGGGGUGCUUGAGGGUUGAAAUGACGUUCGAACAGGUAUGCUCGCCACAAUGCUGGCGAGAGCAAUGUGCGUGAAAGAUUCGAUGAUUCACUGAAUUCUGAAAUUCAAAUUACUUAUCGCAUUUCACUGCCUUCUUCAUCGAUGGCAGAACCAAGAGAUCCGGUGUUAAAAGUUUUAAUUAUUCGCUUGUGCCACUCAGAAGAGACGUCGUGUACAUAGAGUUUGGUUUCCUCCGCCGGGCGCCCCGUCCCCGUGGUGGGGGCCGGCGCCGGGAGGGCAUGCCCGCGAGAGGAUUCCCAUGCNCUUCGAAGCAAAGGUUAGCUACGUUCACAAAGGGUUAUCGAGCGGUAGCUAGGUAAUGAUCCCUCCGCUGGCUCACGCAAACAGACCUUGUCUCGACUUUCCCUUCCACCAGAAGAUUCCCUUUUUUCUUAACUUA